CGACUUUGUGGCUCGCUACGCUUUCUGUUGACCAAGGCUUGAUGCUGACAAAGAUGCUAUCAAACCAUUCUUUGUUCAGCUGUACCAACUCCUUCAUGCUUUCGCCUUCUCUAGGUGUUAAGAGAGCAAGGUUGUCACCCAACGAUCUCACCUUCACCAUAUUCAUACCCCCUCUUACAAAUUCUUCACCCAGUUGUUCAAAGUCCAGCUCAGCACAG
rnacentral:lncRNA from 1 species